rnacentral:rRNA from 1 species
GUAGGGUGCGAGCGUUAAUCGGAAUUACUGGGCGUAAAGGGUGCGCAGGCGGCCCCGCAAGUCAGGCGUGAAAUCCCCGGGCUUAACUUGGGAAUGGCGCUUGAAACUACGAGGCUGGAGUGUGGCAGAGGGAGGUGGAAUUCCACGUGUAGCGGUGAAAUGCGUAGAGAUGUGGAGGAACACCGAUGGCGAAGGCAGCCUCCUGGGCCAACACUGACGCUCAUGCACGAAAGCGUGGGGAGCAAACAGGAUUAGAUACCCUGGUAGUCCACGCCCUAAACGAUGAUGACUAGUUGUUGGAGGAGUUAAAUCCUUUAGUAACGCAGCUAACGCGAGAAGUCAUCCGCCUGGGGAGUACGGUCGCAAGAUUA